AAUAAGCACUGUAAAGAUUAUUUAUUGCAGUCAAAUAUAAUCAAGAACGUACUGUAACAGCAGUGGGGGUGCAGAAUGUUGUGGGGAUAGUAGGAUCAGAAUUCUUGUGUUAAUACCACUUAUACCAACUACUAAUAAGAACUAUAUAAAUAGAACAGAAUAGCCAGAAGAAAAAAAAACCUAAAAUUUCAAUAUCUACGGACACUGCAAGAAGAUCGGGUAACUGAGGCGGUUCAAGAUCUUUCAGUUCUUCCCUAUGAGCAAAAUUAAAUUAAAGGGACAAUUGCUUAUACACCCCUGAAAAUUUUUCGACUUUUUGAUUUACCCCUGUUAGAAGGUUAAUAUUAAAAAUACUUUUUUUACGUUCCAACCUAUUCCCUAGAGUUAAAUUCUGUUAAUGAACUAUUAGUAAUAGCUGUUAUCGCUAUAAAAUUACUAAUUUUUUCUUUCAAAUAUGCCCUUCUACCAUAACUGACUUUUUUUAUUUGCCCUUAAGUUAGGGGCACAAAAAAAAAAUAAUAAUUUUUGGUCUUCUCAAAUAUACCCUCCUACCAUCACAAAUAUUUCUUAUUUACCCUUAGGGUGCGUUUGGUUCGAGUUAUCCUGUCAGGAUUACAGGCAAUCCUGUCAGGAUAACUGUGUUUGGUUAAUCCGCUAUAUAAUCUAGUCGUUAAUGUAGCAUUACAAAUCGAGCAGGAUUACAUCGAAAAUAUUAAUGGGAGGGGGGUCGUGUAUCUUGCAUUACUGAAAUCCGUUAAUACUACAUAUUAUGUAAAAUGACAAUUUUACCCUCCAACAACCCUAAUCUAAUUAACAGUAUUAUUUUCAUCUCUCUCUCGCCUUCCGCCCUCUCUCUCGCACACCGCUUUCUCUUGCUCUCUCUCUCUCUCUCGACGUCUCUCUCUCUCUCUCGCACGAACACGUAUCAUCUUCUAUUGCGUCGUCCUCCCAGGUAAUCAUCACAAUCUCCUUCCCUCCAUUCGUCAUUUUCGCAAAAAAUAAUAUUCAAAUAACCACAACAAGGGCAAUUUUGGAAAAAACUAUACUUUUAUGUCAGGAUUACUAAAUUUUAUAGACUGAACCAAACGUAUUAAUGCUAUAAAUACUGUAAUCUAGUAUUACAUUACUGCAUUAAACCAAACGCGCUAAUGUAGCAUCAGUAGUAAUCUCACGCCGAAAUCCAAGAUACCUGGAUAUGUCGAGAUACUUUGUAAUAUUACAUAACUCGAACCAAACGGGCCCUUAAGUUAAGAGCAAAAGAGAUAUUUUAAAAUUUUUUUUAACUCUAGUAGAUAUUUAACUCCUGUUGAAGGUAAGUUAACUUAAUGGAUGGUAAUUGCAAGGGUAUUUUGAAAUAAUGGAGGAAUAUAUGACGAAAGAAAAAAAAUAAUAGGUGGAUCAAAUAUUUUCAAAGUUUUGAGGGGUAUAUAGGCAAUUAUCUCUAAAUUAAAUAAUAUUUAGAUACAUCAAAUUCAACUUUGUUGUUAACUCAAAUCAGAAUAGAUGAAAGUUAAGAAGUGUCUAUGAAUCAAAAAAACAAAAAUUAAACAUAAUAAUAUUAGAGAUAAUAACGUUUUAAACAUAAUAAUAUUUUAACUGUUAGAGAUAAUAAAUGUUUUAAACAUAAUUUUAAAUGUAAAAAAUAAAAAGAUUAAGAUUACUGGUCAAGAAAAAAAAAUAGUUAGGAACCUUGAAUCCGAAGCCGGCUAUCAAUUGCAAAAUCCAUUUCCGAACUAGACAAAUUUCAAAAUUUUUAUCUAAAUUCGAAACUGGCCAAAAAUUCAAAAUCCAACACCAAAUCCAAACUCGAAGAUCCAAACAUGAAUAAUUAUUUCUCUUUACCAUAUUUCAAAAUAUGUUAUAUUAAAUCUAAAUUUUUAAAAUAUAAUUUCAAGACUAUGUUGCCAAAUAAUUUGAAAGUUUUUUCAUAUAAAAACAAAGAAAUUAAUAUAGUGGAGAUAAAAUUACUUAAUUACUUAUGUAUUAAAUAACAAAAAUAUCUCUCUUUAAAUUAAAUCUGAGUCAUAAAAUAGAAAUGAAUGAAUGACAUAGAAUAAUAACAAGUAAAAAAGCUUUACUCA
rnacentral:lncRNA from 1 species